GCAGUAAGCGCUGCUGCCUGAAGUUGCUAGAUCCUGUUUGAUCUUGGAAACUAAGCAGGGCAGGACCUGUUUAGUACUUGGAAGGGAGACCACCUGAAAAUAUCAGGUGCCUUGAGAC
rnacentral:rRNA from 1 species